rnacentral:tRNA from 1 species
GCGCGGGUGGCGAAACUGGCUAGACGCACUACCUUGAGGUGGUAGCGGGGGCAACCCUAUGGAGGUUCGAAUCCUCUCCCGCGCACAA